rfam:Dracunculus medinensis genome assembly, scaffold: DME_scaffold0000018
GCGACGUUGAUAUGUCUGGUAUUCUUGGGUUAGAUUUGGUUAACCAGUAUCUCAGACGUAUCAUCGUUGU